rnacentral:rRNA from 1 species
UACGUAGGGUGCGAGCGUUGUCCGGAAUUACUGGGCGUAAAGAGCUCGUAGGUGGUUUUGUCGCGUUGUCCGUGAAAAACUCACAACUCAAUUGUGGGCGUGCGGGCGAUACGGGCAGACUGGAGUACUGCAGGGGGAGACUGGAAUUCCUGGUGUAGCGGUGGAAUGCGCAGAUAUCAGGAGGAACACCGGUGGCGAAGGGCGGGGUCUCUGGGGCAAGUAACUGACGCUGAGGAGCGAAAAGCUGGGGGAGCGAACAGGAU